UACGUAGGGUGCAAGCGUUAAUCGGAAUUACUGGGCGUAAAGCGUGCGCAGGCGGCUUUGCAAGACAGAUGUGAAAUCCCCGGGCUCAACCUGGGAACUGCAUUUGUGACUGCAAGGCUAGAGUACGGUAGAGGGGGAUGGAAUUCCGCGUGUAGCAGUGAAAUGCGUAGAGAUCGGAAAGAACACCAACGGCGAAAGCACUCUGCUGGGCCGACACUGACACUGAGAGACGAAAGCUAGGGGAGCGAAUGGG
rnacentral:rRNA from 1 species